rnacentral:tRNA from 1 species
GAAGGUAUAGCUCUGUGGUAGAGUGGGUGCUUAGAAUGCCCGAGGUCCUGGGUUCAAUCCCCAGUACCUCCA